GACGAACGCUGGCGGCGUGCUUAACACAUGCAAGUCGAACGAAAAGACGGGAAGAGCUUGCUCUUUUCGGAAUUGAGUGGCAAACGGGUGAGUAACACGUAAACAACCUGCCUUCAGGAUGGGGACAACAGACGGAAACGACUGCUAAUACCGAAUAAGUUCCAAGAGCCGCAUGGCCCAUGGAAGAAAAGGUGGCCUCUACCUGUAAGCUAUCGCCUGAAGAGGGGUUUGCGUCUGAUUAGCUGGUUGGAGGGGUAACGGCCCACCAAGGCGACGAUCAGUAGCCGGUCUGAGAGGAUGAACGGCCACACUGGAACUGAGACACGGUCCAGACUCCUACGGGAGGCAGCAGUGGGGAAUCUUCCGCAAUGGGCGAAAGCCUGACGGAGCAACGCCGCGUGAGUGAUGACGGCCUUCGGGUUGUAAAACUCUGUGAUCCGGGACGAAAAGGCAGAGUGCGAAGAACAAAC
rnacentral:rRNA from 1 species